UACGAGUGCCUCAAGCGUUAUCCGGAAUCAUUGGGCGUAAAGGGUGUGUAGGUGGUUGUGUUAGUCUUCUGUUAAAUUCUUCGGCUUAACCGGGGACAUGCGGAGGAAACGGCAUAACUAGAGGAUGGGAGAGGUUUGCGGAACUCAUGGUGUAGGGGUGAAAUCCGUUGAUAUCAUGGGGAACACCAAAAGCGAAGGCAGCAAACUGGCCCACUCCUGACACCGAAACACGAAAGCGUGGGUAGCGAAUGGG
rnacentral:rRNA from 1 species